CUGCUUAUGGGUAAGUGCAUUAUGAACACAUAAGGGGAGAUGGUGGAAUAUAAAUAAGCAUAUUCCUUCUUCCCAUCACCUGCUGUCAGCAAAAAAGUUUUGGCAAAAAGGAUGUUUACUGUGAUUUAGCAGCAUCAGGAAGUAGGAAUUGACCUGAUUAUAGCAGCAACUCUCAGGCUUCAGCACUUUUGUUAAUCAUGUAAAAGCCUAAAGAUGACUUGGGGACUAAAUUUAAGCUUCAGGGUUGGAAAGCUCUGACUGGAGAAUCUUAGCUGCAGGAGGAGUAUUGAACAUGUGAGCUGAGGAGGGGCAAGCACCAGACCUAGCACUCAGAGCCAAGCUUUCUGUCUGGGCCAGGGAUACCUACAGCUCCUGCCAGCUGCCUGUCUGUGUGACCUCUCCUCACCAAAGCAGCAGCACUGCCAUUUGAACUCCAGUGCAAGUUGGCUCAAAUGGAGCAAUAUCUAAAAACUGGGUAUCCAUUUUAUACACUUGUUGUCUUCUUUCCAAUUACACAGGCCAGUGCUUGAAUACAUUUUCAGCCUGGUUGUCAGGUAUGGACUGGUAUAUCACCAUAUUCCCUCAAACAUUCCUCAAACAUUAAGGCACAUCCAACUCUUCUCCAGAAGUGAACUGAGAGCAGCAGGACGGGCCUGAGCACGAGUCUCAAGGCAGAGCAGGAAGUUGGCUCAGAACAGCACUGCCCCACAUCCAUGGGACCCUCUUCUCCCAUCUCCAUUCCUACAGCAAUGCUCAGGACACAAAACACACUUUGCUCCUCUACACUGUCAAACCCAAUUAGACUGCAGCAAGAAGGAUUGGUCACUGCACUGAAAAGAUUUGAGAGAGCACAAAAUUACAGAGCUGGACUGGACAGGUGUCAUGGAUCUGCUUCUUCUGUUUUGAGGGGGUGUUGUCUCUGAAAACUUUAUUUCUCCCUUAUCUCUAAAGUACAGGAGGGCAGUAACACAUUUCUCUGAUCCUGGAAAGCCAGAGUAAUGGAUUGCAUAUAUCUCUUGAAUGGAUUGCAUAUGCUCUGAAGCCUAUUUCCAAACUGCAUAACUUAUAGAAAAACACAGUUAAUAGCUGGCAAACUUGGUUGUUGCACUAGUGUUGGUUGGGGUAGAGAUAAUAUUUUUCAUACUGUCAAUACUGUCUGUUUUGGAUUUGUGCUGGAAACAUCAGGGAGGUUUUCAUUAUUGCUGAGCAGUACUUCCACAGAGUCAAGGCCUUUUCUGCCUUUCCACCUGCCAGAGAGGUGGGGGUGCACAUGGAUCUGGGAGAGGACACAGCCAGAACAGCUGACCCUAGAUGAUCAAAGGCAUAUUCCGUACCAUAGGGUGCCAUGCUCAGCGUACACAGCUGGGGAAAUAAGUAGAAAGGAUGGGAUGUUCAGAAUUAUGGCUUUUGCUUUCCCAAGUCACCACUACAUGUGUGGAGCCCUGUUUUCCUGAGCAUGGUUGAACACCUGCCUGUCCAUGGGAAAUGGUGAAUGAAAGUCUUGUUUUGCUUUUCUCAUGUUUGAGGUUUCUGCUUUACUUAUUAAACUGUCUUUGCCUCAAC
ensembl:lncRNA